rnacentral:rRNA from 1 species
CCUACGGGGUGCUGCAGUGGGGAAUCUUGCACAAUGGGGGAAACCCUGAUGCAGCGACGCCGCGUGAGCGAUGAAGUAUUUCGGUAUGUAAAGCUCUAUCAGCAGGGAAGAAAAUGACGGUACCUGACUAAGAAGCCUCGGCUAACUACGUGCCAGCAGCCGCGGUCAUACGUAGGGGGCAAGCGUUAUCCGGAUUUACUGGGUGUAAAGUGAGCGUAGAGGGAUGUGCAAGCGAGAUGGGAAAGCCCGGGGCUAAACCCCGGGACUGCAUUUGGAACUGUGUGGCUGGAGUGUCGGAGGGGCAGGCGGAAUUCCUAGUGUAGGGGUGAAAUGCGUAGAUAUUAGGAAGAACACCAGUGGCGAAGGCAGGCUGCUGG